GGAGAGGUGGCCGAGUGGUUGAAGGCGCACGCCUGGAAAGUGUGUAUACGGCAACGUAUCGAGGGUUCGAAUCCCUCUCUCUCCG
rfam:Legionellales bacterium RIFCSPHIGHO2_12_FTLL_42_9 rifcsphigho2_12_scaffold_33925, whole genome shotgun sequence.